GUCUUUGUGGUGUAACGGUUAGUGCACUCGGCGCGUAUUCGAGAGGUCCAGGUUCAAGUCCCGGCGAAGACA
rnacentral:tRNA from 1 species